CGUGACCCUAGGUCAGGCGGGAGCACCCGCUGAGUUUAAGCAUAUCAAUAAGCAGAGGAAAAGAGACUUACCAAGAUUCCCUUAAUAAUGGCGAGCGAACCGGGAAUAGGCUAGCUUGAAAAUCGGUCACCUUUGGCAUUCAAAUUGUAGUUUAAAGAAGCAUCCUCAACGGUGGACCGGGCCAAAGUCCCCUAGAAAGGGGUGCCUGAGAGGGUGAGAGCCCCGUUGUGCUUGGACCCUAUCGCGCCAUGAGGUACUGCUUGUAGUCGAGUUGUUUGGGAAUGUAGCCCUAAACGGGCGGUAAAUUCUGUCCGAGGCUAAAUAUGGGCAAGAGACUGAUAUCGAACAAGUACCGUGAGGGAAAGAUGAAAAGGACUUUGAAAAUAGAAUCAAAAACUACUUGAAAUUAUUGGGGGGAAAGAAGAUGGGGGCUGGCGACGCGCCCCGAUCCGAUGCCGAACGGCAUAAACUAGUCCACCAAUCGCCUCGGGGUGUUGGCGUCCCAAGCCUAGGCUUUUGAAAUGCUUAUGGAGAUGGUGUCAACUCGAUCGUGGACUAUAGCACGUGCCCCACGGCAUGCCUUAUAAUCCGUGCGCUCCUGGUGUCGGCCUACGGGCUCCCCAUUCAACCCGUCUUGAAACACGGACCAAGGAGUCUGACAUGUGUGUGAGUCAACGGGCAAGAAAACCCGUAAGGUGGAAGGAAGUUGAUUGGCAAGAUCCCUUGUAGGUGCACCUCCGACUGACCUUGAUCUUUUGAGUAGGGUUCGAGAUAGAGCAUGCCUGUCAGGACCCGAAAGAUGGUGAGCUAUGACUGAGCGAGGCGAAGUCAAAGGAAACUCUGGUGGAGGCCCGCAGUGAUAUUGACGUGCAAAUAGUUCGUCUGACUUGGGUAUAGAGGUGAAAGACUAGUGAAACCGUCUAGUAGCUGGUUCCCUCCGAAGUUUCCCUUAAGAUAGCUGGAGCUCAUGCGAGUUCUAUCGGGGGCACAACACCCUCGACCUAUUCUCAAACUUUAAAUUGGUAGGAUGGCAUGGCUACUUUGUUGAGCCAUGUCACGAAAUUGAGAGCUCCAAAUGGGCCAUUUUUGGUAAGCAGAACUGGCGAUGUAGGAUGAACAAAAAGCCAGGUUACGGUGCCCAACUGCGCGCUAACCUAGAUCCCACAAAAGGUGUUGGUCGAUUAAGACAGCAGGACAGUGCCCAUGGAUGUUCAAAUCUACUAAGGAGUGUGUAACAACUUAGCUUCCGAAUCAACUAGCCCUAAAAAUGGAUGGCGCUGAAGCACGUGACGCACACCUGGCCAUCAGGGCAAGUGCCAGGCCCCAAUGAGUAGGAGGGUGCGGCGGUCACUCCAAAACCCGGGGUGUGAGCCCGGGCGGAGCGGCCGUCGAUGCAGAUCUUGGUGGUAGUAGCAAAUAUUCAAAUUAGAACUUUGAAGGCCGAAGAGGGGAAAGGUUCCAUGUGAACGGCACUUGCACAUAGGUUGGUCGAUUUUAAGAGAUGGGGGAAGCCCGUCCGAUGGUACUUCAGUGUGAGAUUUAAAAGCGAAUCAGGUUAAAAUUCUCGAACCGAGAUGCGGCCGUAGACGGCAACAUUAGGGAGUCCGGAGAUGUGGGCGGGGGCCCCAGGAAGAGUUAUCUUUUCUGUUUAAUGGCCUGCCCACCCUGGAAACGGCUCAGCCAGAGGUAGGGUCCACAGACCAGAAGAGUGUCGCAAGUCUCUUGGCAUUCGGUGCGCCCCCCAGUGGCCCUUGAAAAUCCAGAGGACCGAGUAUCAUCUGCACCUGGUCAUACUCAUAACUACAUAAGGUCUCCAAGGUGAAUAGCAAUUGGUCAAUGGAAUAAUGUAGGCAAGGGAAGUCGGCAACAUCGAUUCAUAACCUUGGGAAAUGGAUUGGCUUUGAGGGCUAGGCACAGGGGUCCCAGUCCCAAACCCAUUGACUAUCAGUGAACUGCUCGAGCUACUUAUGCGGUGAGAGUGGGUCACCGCGUGUCGGCCAAGGGACGGACUGGGAAUGGCCCCUUACGGGGCCUUCCCUGGGCAUCGAACAGCCAACUCGGAACUGGUAUGGACAAGGGGAAUCCAACUAUUUAAUUUAAACAAAGCAUUGCAAUGGUCGUUGUGAAUGCUCACGCAAUGUGAUUUCUGCCUAGUGCUCUGAAUGUCAAAGUGAAGAAAUUCAACCAAGCGCGGGUAAACAGCAGGAGUAACUAUGACUCUCUUAAGGUAGCCAAAUGCCUCAUCAUCUAAUUAGUGACUCAUGUGAAUGGAUUAAUGAGAUUCCCACUGUCCCUAUCUACUAUCUAGCAAAACCACAGCCAUGGGAACGUGCUUGGCUGAAUCAGCAGGGAAAGAAGACCCUGUUGAGCUUGACUUUAGUCUGACUUUGUGAAAUGACUUGGGAGGUGUAGGAUAAGUGGGAGCCCUAUGGGUGCAAGUGAAAUACCAUUACCUUUAAUGUUAUUUUAUUUAUUCCCUGAAUCGGAGGCGAGGCAAUGCCCCUCUUUUUGGACCCAAGGCUCACCUCGGUGGGCCGAUCUAAGCGAAAGACAUUGUCAGGUGGAGAGUUUGGUUCGGGUGGCACAUCUGUUAAAAGAUAAUGUAGGUGUACUAAGAUGAGCUCAACAAGAACAGAAAUCUCGUGUGGAACAAAAGGGUAAAAGCUCGUUUGAUUCUGAUUUUCAGUACGAAUAUGAAUCUUGAAAGCGUGUCCUAUCGAUCAUUUAGAUCUUCAGAAUUUGAAGCUAGAGGUGUCAGAAAAGAUACCACAGGGAUAACUGGUUUGUGGCAGCCAAGCAUUCAUGGCGACAUUACUUUUUGAUUCUUCGAUGUCAAAUCUUCCUAUCAUUGUGAAGUAUAAUUCACCAAGUGUUGGAUUGUUCAGCCACCAAUAGGGAACAUAAGCUAGGUUUAGACUGUUGUGAGACAGGUUAGUUUUACCCUACUGAUGACCGCGUCAUGAUAGUAAUUCAACCUGGUAUGAGAGGAAUCGUUGAUUCGCACAAUUGGUCAUCGCGCUUGGUUGAAAAGCCAGUGGCGUGAAGCUACCGUGUGUUGGAUUAUGACUGAACGCCUCUAAGUCAGAAUCUGGGCUAGAAGUGACACAUGCGUCGGUCACCCAUUUGCUGACCCGUAGUAGGGGGCUCGGCCCUCAAGGGCACAUGUCAGGGGAGUAGUUGUCAUGACAGACUAGUUACGAAGGCUUCCCCGAAGAUAAAUUUCCAUCGAGU
rnacentral:rRNA from 1 species